UUCCACCUGGCACACGCUGUGCUGACCAAACUCAAGGCAUUCAAGGUAUACAAACCCAACAUAGGAGAGAUCCAAAGGAAUUGGAUCUGGACUCAGCAGGGAAUUGGUGGAGGAGUCUCUCAAGGCUACCCAGGGAGGGAAGGUUUUGUGGGGGGAAAGAAAGAGUUUUCCAGAUGACUCAGACAUCUGGAUGGUGGCAGCAAAACCAGAUCUAAACUGGUAAUUAAGCGUAGAAGUGUUCAUGCAGGUCCCCACAUCUGUACCCUAAAGUUCAGAGUAGGGGUGAAAUGGGGGAGCAUGUGAGAAGUAGAAGGAAGGAGGAGUGAUUUUAAACCUGCUCGGAGAUCCUGGUGGGGGGAGGGGUGGAGUCUAGACCCCCUUGGAGAUCCUGAGGAGUUGACAGAACAAUAGCAUUCCCUGUGUGGGGACUAUGGGCCCCAGCCCUUCUCUAACACUGGCCGUGGGCAGAUCUCAAAGUGAUCUACAAAGGCCAGUGUCCUUAUCCCCUCUGUACAGAUGGGGAAAUCGAGGCACCGCCUGGGGAAGUGUGUGCCCAGCACAAUCUCUCUGUUUAUAAACAGGGCAGUUCGGUCACAGAACUAAGCUUUGCACACAGAGCCUCUUCCACCCCUGGACACUCCUGUCUGUGUGUGCUCCUACACCCAUCUCCAUGGUAUCGGAACCUCACUAAUGAAUUCAGCCUCCCAGGGGAGGCAGGGUCGCCUGUGUUACAGAUGGGAAACUCAGGCAUGCAGGGAGUCUGUCAGAGCAGGAACUAGAACCCAGAUCUCCUAAGCCUUAGCCACAGCUCCUGCCAUCCCCGUCCCAUUCCCAGUAAAGGGGAGCUGCAAAUCCACCCUGCCCUGGAUUCUCACACGGGAUACCCAGUGGUUCUUGUCCCCCUAGGAGAAGAUGUAAAAUCCAGGGCAUGCCCAGAUCUCUCCGUCCUGUUGCUUCUGCUCUUGCUUCCAGCCUUUGCCAAGCUGCUGGGAGACUGUGCACCUGUGACCAAUUGGGAAUGUUUGUAAUAUCUUUUAUGAAGCUGAUGCGUGCCUCAGUUUCCUCUAUAUGUUGCAUGGCUUCUCAGGCAGGGGGCUGGGGUGGAAGGGCUGUCAAGAAAGGGAAUUAAACCCAGGUCAGCCUGGGGGCCAGAAAGACCGUGCCGACUCCAACGGCUCCUGGCUGGAUGCUCCCAGCAGGGAAUCGGAGCAGGGCCCCCAGCUCGAGAAACACAGAAUUGGGAAGGUUUGAGCUGGAGGAUAAAGUGAGGGAACCUGGGAGCUCUCGCCUGAGAACUGACCAAAGUCAGACCGAGGCCUGGUCUACACAAGGCAAUUGGGUCAGUGUAACUGCGUCACUCGGGGGCAUGAGAAAGGCGGCCUCACAAACGAUGCAGCUGCAGUGGUUUACAUGUAGACACAGUGGUGAGCUGGCGCCGGUUUGCGGGAUCCGGUUCUAAAAGGGCUUCUAAAUUUAAUAACUGGUAAGUUUAAGUGACCCAGGAGCGUAGCUGGGGGAGAGCAGGGGGAGCAGCCGCUCCCUGUCAUCACAUUAUCCAAAAGUGGCGCCUUAGGCGCUGACCCCGUGAGUGCUCCAGCUCCCCACCCCAGCCCCAGCUCACCUCCACUCUGCCCUACUUCUUCCCCCCUCUACGCCCGCUCCUCAUGAAUCAGCUGUUCACGCGGGAAGCCUGGGAGGGCUGAGAAACAAGCAACAACUUGGUGCUCAGGCCCAGGGAGGCGGAGAUGCAGCGUAGGUGAGCUGGGGCAGGGGGGUCGCCCGCGCCGCAGCAGGUAACCGGGGGGGGGGCACACAAGGGAACCACUCCCUGCCCCAGCUCACCUCCACACCGCCUUCGUCGCCCUGCGAGCUCGACCUGACCCGGUGGUCCAGUCGAACGGCAUGGCUGUAGCGCCGCCAGCCACCUCCAGGCAGCGCAGGACCAAAGGGGACUCAGAGGACAAGGAGGAGGAGGAGGAGGAGGAGAAAUGGGUGGACGUGGCUACAGAGGAG